GGAGCGGUGGCCGAGCGGUCGAAGGCGGCGGUCUUGAAAACCGUUGUAGGGAAACUUACCGGGGGUUCGAAUCCCUCCCGCUCCG
rnacentral:tRNA from 1 species